rnacentral:rRNA from 1 species
CAGCAGCCGCGGUAAUACGUAGGUCCCGAGCGUUGUCCGGAUUUAUUGGGCGUAAAGCGAGCGCAGGCGGUUAGAUAAGUCUGAAGUUAAAGGCUGUGGCUUAACCAUAGUACGCUUUGGAAACUGUUUAACUUGAGUGCAGAAGGGGAGAGUGGAAUUCCAUGUGUAGCGGUGAAAUGCGUAGAUAUAUGGAGGAACACCGGUGGCGAAAGCGGCUCUCUGGUCUGUAACUGACGCUGAGGCUCGAAAGCGUGGGGAGCAAACAGGAUUAGAUACCCCUGUAGUCCCUGUCUCUUAUACA